rnacentral:rRNA from 1 species
UACGGAGGGUGCAAGCGUUAAUCGGAAUUACUGGGCGUAAAGGGCGCGUAGGCGGUCUAUCAAGUCAGGUGUGAAAUCCCACGGCUCAACCGUGGAGGUGCAUCUGAAACUGAUAGACUUGAGUAUGGGAGAGGAAAGUGGAAUUCCCGGUGUAGAGGUGAAAUUCGUAGAUAUCGGGAGGAACACCAGUGGCGAAGGCGACUUUCUGGACCAAUACUGACGCUGAGGCGCGAAAGCGUGGGGAGCAAACAGGAUUAGAAACCCUAGUAGUCC